GAUGAACGCUAGCGGCAGGCUUAACACAUGCAAGUCGAGGGGUAGAAGGAGCUUGCUCCUUUGAGACCGGCGCACGGGUGCGUAACGCGUAUGCAAUCUACCUUGUACAGGGGGAUAGCCCAGAGAAAUUUGGAUUAAUACCCCAUAGUGUAACGAAAAGGCAUCUUUUUGUUACUAAAGUUCCAACGGUACAAGAUGAGCAUGCGUCCCAUUAGCUAGUUGGUGUGGUAACGGCACACCAAGGCAACGAUGGGUAGGGGUCCUGAGAGGGAGAUCCCCCACACUGGUACUGAGACACGGACCAGACUCCUACGGGAGGCAGCAGUGAGGAAUAUUGGUCAAUGGGCGCAAGCCUGAACCAGCCAUGCCGCGUGCAGGAUGACGGUCCUAUGGAUUGUAAACUGCUUUUGUACAGGAAGAAACACUCCCUCGUGAGGGAACUUGACGGUACUGUAAGAAUAAGGAUCGGCUAACUCCGUGCCAGCCGCCGCAGUAAAAC
rnacentral:rRNA from 1 species